rnacentral:rRNA from 1 species
UACAGAGGUGGCAAGCGUUGUCCGGAAUCAUUGGGCGUAAAGAGCGUGUAGGCGGCCCGAUAAGUCCGCCGUGAAAGUCCAGGGCUCAACCCUGGAAUGCCGGUGGAAACUGUCGGGCUGGAGUCCGGAAGAGGCGAGUGGAAUUCCAGGUGUAGCGGUGAAAUGCGUAGAUAUCUGGAGGAACACCGGUGGCGAAGGCGGCAUCCUGGACCGAGAUCGACGCUGAGGCGCGAAAGCUAGGGGAGCAAACGGG